rnacentral:rRNA from 1 species
UACGUAGGGUGCAAGCGUUAUCCGGAAUUAUUGGGCGUAAAGAGCUCGUAGGCGGUUUGUCGCGUCUGCUGUGAAAACUGGAGGCUCAACCUCCAGCCUGCAGUGGGUACGGGCAAACUAGAGUGCGGUAGGGGAGAUUGGAAUUCCUGGUGUAGCGGUGGAAUGCGCAGAUAUCAGGAGGAACACCGCUGGCGAAGGCAGGUCUCUGGGCAUUAACUGACGCUGAGGAGCGAAAGCAUGGGGAGCGAACAGG